GCAUGUAUAGCCAUAUCACCCAUACAUCAGAAGCUAAGCAGUGUUCGGCCUGGCCAGUACUUGGAUGGGAGACCGCCUGGAAAUACCAGGAGCUACAGGCU
rfam:Macaca mulatta chromosome 19, whole genome shotgun sequence.